rnacentral:rRNA from 1 species
GGGUCAGUAGGUUGGUCGUGCCACCGGUACGUACUGGUCUCACUGAUUCCUCCUCCCUGAAGAACCGUAAUGCCAUUAAUUUGGUGUUGCGGGGAAACAGGACUGUUACUUUGAAAAAAUUAGAGUGUUUAAAGCAAGCUAACGCUUGAAUACAUUAGCAUGGGAUAAUGAAAUAGGGCGAUCGAUCCUAUUUUGCUGGUUUCUAGGAUUGACGUA